GACGAACGCUGGCGGCGUGCUUAACACAUGCAAGUCGAACGGAAAGGCCCUGCUUUUGUGGGGUGCUCGAGUGGCGAACGGGUGAGUAGCACGUGAGUAACCUGCCCCUGACUUUGGGAUAACUUCAGGAAACGGGGGCUAAUCCCGGAUAGGAGCUCCUGCUGCAUGGUGGGGGUUGGAGAGUUUCGGCGGUUGGGGAUGGACUCGCGGCUUAUCAGCUUGUUGGUGGGGUAGUGGCUUACCAAGGCUUUGACGGGUAGCCGGCCUGAGAGGGUGACCGGCCACAUUGGGACUGAGAUACGGCCCGGACUCCUACGGGAGGCAGCAGUGGGGAAUAGUGCACAAUGGGCGGAAGCCUGAUGCAGCAACGCCGCGUGCGGGAUGACGGCCUUCGGGUUGUAAACCGCUUUCGCCUGUGACGAAGCGUGAGUGGCGGUAAUGGGUAAAGAAGCACCGGCUAACUACGUG
rnacentral:rRNA from 1 species